GACAUACUGCCUAGACGGCUGAAGUGAAGUGAGACACAUCACAAGUAUUAAAAGAAUGAAAUUAAGAUUGUUUUCUUAAUGUCCAACAAAAAAAAGAAGAAAAAAAGAACUCAAGAUUGAUUACCAUUUGAUACUAAUCAGUAUAAUGCUUGGUUACUGAAUGAUGGGGUUUACUGAAUUCUUGAUACAGUCACAGGGUUCUCCAAUCACGUCUGUCAAUUCCAACUCUUGUUCAGGUGUUUCUGAGCCAUCUGCUUCCUGGCUUUUAUCACAAGAAUUUGAUUCUGGGGUUGAUCAUGCAUAUUAUACAAGCGAGAAAGCACUUCUAGGUAACAUUAAUUUUCCUCAAAAUUGUCAGUGAGUGCCUUCAUAAAAU
rnacentral:lncRNA from 1 species